GACGAACGCUGGCGGCGUGCUUAACACAUGCAAGUCGAACGGAAAGGCCCUGCUUGCAGGGUACUCGAGUGGCGAACGGGUGAGUAACACGUGGGUGAUCUGCCCUGCACUUCGGGAUAAGCCUGGGAAACUGGGUCUAAUACCGGAUAGGAGCCAUUUUUAGUGUGAUGGUUGGAAAGUUUUUUCGGUGUAGGAUGAGCUCGCGGCCUAUCAGCUUGUUGGUGGGGUAAUGGCCUACCAAGGCGGCGACGGGUAGCCGGCCUGAGAGGGUGGACGGCCACAUUGGGACUGAGAUACGGCCCAGACGCCGACGGGAGGCAGCAGUGGGGAAUAUUGCACAAUGGGCGCAAGCCUGAUGCAGCGACGCCGCGUGGGGGAUGACGGCCUUCGGGUUGUAAACUCCUUUCGCUAGGGACGAAGCUUUUUGUGACGGUACCUAGAUAAGAAGCACCGGCUAACUACGUG
rnacentral:rRNA from 1 species